CUUGGCACCAUAUUGAGCCAUAUUGAGGAGGGACAGAUAACUAAACCAUAAUUGUCAUUUUGUGGUAAAUGCUGUGGAGAAAAAAAAUUCAGGGAUGUUGGAGGAAUAGAGUAUCUGAUAUAUAUGUGGGAAUGGAGAGAAAUAGAGUUUUAAAUGAAGAUAGUUAAAAAGGGCCUCACUUUGGCCGGGCGCGGUGGCGCGCGCCUGUAGUCCCAGCUACUCGGGAGGCUGAGGCAGGAGGAUCGCUUGAGCCCAGGAGUUCUGGGCUGUAGUGCGCUAUGCCGAUCGGGUGUCCGCACUAAGUUCGGCAUCAAUAUGGUGACCUCCCGGGAGCACCGGCCCAGGUCGGAAACGGAGCAGGUCAAAACUCCCGUGCUGAUCAGUAGUGGGAUCGCGCCUGUGAAUAGCCACUGCACUCCAGCCUGGGCAACAUAG